rnacentral:lncRNA from 1 species
UGGGCAGGUGCACGGGGCACCUAGGGGCUCCUUGUGAUGUCCCACUGCUGGAUCCCCCAUCCUCUCCCCCUCCAACUUCUUCCUGCACCUCUGUCUCUGGAAGGCAGCCUUCUCCUGGUCUCCUGGUCCAGCGCUGCCCUCUCUGCCAGCGAAGCACCCUCGGUGGACACUCCUUCCCCAGAACCACCCACCUCCUGGCACAUUCCUCUUCUCUGGGUGGGAAGGGCCUGGGUUUGAGGGCAGAGCCCAGGCCGAGGACAUGCGCAGCUGGGUUCCUUCUCAGCCUGGAUGGGCCACCCAGUCACCAGGGGACUUCGGCAUGCUACUUCCUUUCUGUGGGUCUCAAUUUCCCUAGCACCGACAGCAGCGGCAGUGACAAAAGAGGCACCCAAGCACACUCUUUGGUUUGGAGGCAAGUAGAGGCCACAAGAGGAGCCUGGAGGAAGCAAGAGACUACAGUUGCUUCUCAAUCCCUGCAUCUCCCACUACCUGCACUGGGUGGGGUCACCCCACGCCACCCCUUCCAGCAGAGUGCCCGGCACACGGCACCACAGGCUCACAAUGACCGUGGGCUAAGACAAAAAGGUGAACGAAUGAGUACGGGGCCCCAAGACCAGCCCAUUUAGGAUCUUUUUUUUCUCUUUUUGAGCUUGUGCAUCUCUGUGAAGAGAGCAGUUUAGUGCCCUGGCUUGAGCCAAAGCGCCUGGGUUCGGGUUCUGUUUGGGGCAAGUUAAUGGACCUCUCCUGCUUGUUUCCUCCGUCCUAAGAUAGGGCUGGUGAUGGCACCUGCCAGGGCCGCUGGGAGCCCUGGUAUCCACACACUCCAGACAGAGCCCGGCCACAGGGCGCCACCGAGCGUGUCGGCAAUGUCUCCUCUCAUUUAUUCUGGUGGGCUUUGUUAUUUCUUUAUUAAAUGUCGUGGUGGCAGAAAGUGCUGGACCUCCAGGUGGACUACAUUUCCCAGCCACCCAACCAGGCUGCCGGCUGGGGCCGCGUGACCACGUUCUGCCCAGAGCCACGUGAGAGGAAGCCCUGGGCGCCCCUUUCGGGCCUGGUCUCUGAGACCUCUCCUCUGUCCUCCGUGCUCUCGCCCCUUCCUCUGUCUGGAGCAAGGGGUCCAGAGCAGGAUUCUGAGGCCCAGACAAUGGCAGGACCACCAAAUGGCAGGAACCUAGUCCCUGAGUGACCCUUUAGCACCCAGCCGGGCAGCCCAGAUGGACCUGAGACCUGAAGGAGGAACCUUUACCGUGUUCAGUCUCUAAAGUUUCAGGGGUUUUUUUAUAUAGUGUUUGGCUUUACUUACCUAAUAUAGCCAUAAUGUGAGACUAUUUAAUUAAUUUUCAGGAUAUUUCCAACUUAAUUUUUUUUCUAGCAAUUAUUAUCAUAGGGCUAUUGCUUUAUAUUCUUCUCUUUAAUGUUAUCUUUUGGAUACUUCACAGAGUUUAAGUCACUAGCAACCAAAAGCAUAUGGCUCCCCAAACACUGCUUAGAACCUGGGGCUCCAGGACCCUCCUGACCCCUUUCCUGGAGUCAGACUCAUGUCAGGAGAUAGAGGCACCCCCAUCAGGGUCCUAGGGCAGCAAGCUUCCAAAGGCACGAGUCAGUCAAAGGCGGAGGCCGGGAGUC